GCGGGUAUGGCGGAAUUGGCAGACGCGCUGGAUUUAGGUUCCAGUGGUGACCCCGUGCAGGUUCAAGUCCUGUUACCCGCACCA
rnacentral:tRNA from 1 species